rnacentral:rRNA from 1 species
AUUGAACGCUGGCGGAAUGCUUUACACAUGCAAGUCGAACGGCAGCACGGGGGCAGCCCUGGUGGCGAGUGGCGAACGGGUGAGUAAUACAUCGGAACGUGCCCGGUCGUGGGGGAUAACGUAGCGAAAGUUACGCUAAUACCGCAUACGAUCUGAGGAUGAAAGCGGGGGAGCUUCGGGCUUCGCGCGAUCGGAGCGGCCGAUGUCAGAUUAGGUAGUUGGUGGGGUAAAGGCCUACCAAGCCGACGAUCUGUAGCUGGUCUGAGAGGACGACCAGCCACACUGGGACUGAGACACGGCCCAGACUCCUACGGGAGGCAGCAGUGGGGAAUUUUGGACAAUGGGCGCAAGCCUGAUCCAGCCAUUCCGCGUGCAGGACGAAGGCCUUCGGGUUGUAAACUGCUUUUGUACGGAACGAAAAGGCUCUGGCUAAUACCUGGGGCUCAUGACGGUACCGUAAGAAUAAGCACCGGCUAACUACGUG